rnacentral:other from 1 species
GGCGCCCUGCGGUGUUCGUGACGUCCGACCUAAGCCAAGCGCCAAGAAUAGCUUAGAGGGAGCCGGGGUCUGCAGGUGGCAGGCGCCGCCCGUGCGGUGGCACCGGAAGCCUGUGGCCAGGCACCCACCUGCUCGCCAGGGCGGCGAGCUUAGGGGCGCACGGCACCCGCGGGGCGGCU